UACGGGGGGGGCAAGCGUUGUUCGGAAUUACUGGGCGUAAAGGGCUCGUAGGUGGCCAACUAAGUCAGACGUGAAAUCCCUCGGCUUAACCGGGGAACUGCGUCUGAUACUGGAUGGCUUGAGUUCUGGAGAGGGAUGCGGAAUUCCAGGUGUAGCGGUGAAAUGCGUAGAUAUCUGGAGGAACACCGGUGGCGAAGGCGGCAUCCUGGACCGAUACUGACGCUGAGGAGCGAAAGCCAGGGGAGCAAACGGG
rnacentral:rRNA from 1 species